GGGAAGAGGAAAAUGAGGCAAGAUGCUGAGAAAAAGUCAUCUCCCACUCUGCCCUUCUCUGGCAAAUCGAAGUGUCCUCUUGUGGGAGGCGGUGGGCAGCGACACUCCUGUUGGACGUCAGUGUUCUCGGGCCCGGCCACCCCGGAGCAGAACUCACUUAGGGCCUGGUGCCCCUGUGCCCAGUUCUCAGAACGUCGGAGUGCUCAGUUCUCAGAACGCCGGAGUGCCCCAUUCAUAACCUGCAGCCCCAUUCAUAGCCUGCAGCUCCCCUCCUUCCUCUCCUCCCGGUCUUCAGGGAGCACCCCCAGCUCCCCUCCCCACUCUCAAACCCUCCUCCUCCCUCCCCUCUCUCAGUUCCCUGUUUGCAGGAUCUCCUCCUGCCCACUCUCCAGCCCAGGUCCUCCCCUCUCAUCUCCAAUUCUGCUUCACGGGCCAUGACAGCAGGCAGGCCAUGGCCUGCUCUCAGCAGUUUGAUCGAUGGACUAAGGAGAUCACUCCUACGAGAGUGAAAAAGUCAAAUGUGCCUGAGAUUCAGAUGGGGAGCUCUCAAAGCUACGGAUUGCAAGAGUCAACACCGCCUCAAAAGUACAAGGUCGGCCGGGUGCAGUGGCUCACACCUUUAAUCCCAGCACUUUGGGAGACUGAGGCGGGUGGAUCACCUGAGGUCAGGAGCUCAAGACCAGCCUGACCAACAUGGUGAAAUCCCGUCUCUAUUAAAAAUACAAAAAAAAUUAGCCGGGUGUGGUGGUGCAUGCUUGUAGAUCCAGCUACUCGGGAGGCUGAGGCAGGGGGAGCACUUGAACCCGGGAGGUGGAGGUUGCAGUGAGCCGAGAUUGCGCCAUUGCACUCCAGCCUGGGCAACAGAGUGAGACCCUGCCUCAAAAAAAUAAAAAAAUUAAAGUACGAGGCCCGGUUUAAAUGCAGGAGGAAUCUGGUGAGCGAGUUUCACUCUGAUGCAACAGAAAAGCCAAGCCAAGCCUUGGCUGUGCCUGAUCUUGGCCGGGGAGCCACAGGCAGGGUCUGCUGGUUUCGGUAUCAGGAGCACAUCCCCCAGGACCACGUGUGAGAUGGGAAGUGCCUUGAUGGAAAACUGAUACCUUUUUCUUUCCGAGUAACUUUAGAAUAUGUCGCUUCAAAUAUAACUAAUAUCCUGAUUUCAAUGGACUUGCAUGGAAGGAAACACAAGUUCAUUUGCCAGUGGGGGGUGAGGACUGGGAGAGUGGGGAGCAGGGUGGGGAAGAGGGGACCAUUCCACAAGCCGCAAGAGCCUGGACACCUCCAGCCUUCAAUAAAUAGCAUUUGAAUUUGC
rnacentral:lncRNA from 1 species